AUACUUACCUGGCAGGGGAGAUACCAUGAUCACAAAGGUGGUUUUCCCAGGGCAAGGCUUAUCCUUUGCACUCCAGAUGUGCUGACCCCUGUGAUUUCCCCAAAUGUGGGAAACUCGACUACAUAAUUUGUGGUAGUGGCGGACUGAGUUCAUGCUCUCCCCUG
ensembl:snRNA U1 U1 spliceosomal RNA